GGGCAGUGCACCUGUUUGCGGCGGGGGCUGGGCGGGGGUCCCGGCCUGGCGCUCGCCGACCCCAGCCCGGGCACCUGCGGGCUCCCCCCGGCCCGUCGGGGCUGGCAGCGCCCGCUCCCCUCCGCGGCCCCGGGCUGCCGAGAGCUGCUGCUCCUCCCCGUGGGACGCUCCUGCCUGCUGGGGCCCUGGGUGAUGCUCUGAAGCACGGUCCCCACCGUCCCCCCCAGAGGCACUGCCCCAAAGCAUCAGCUGUCAGAGGUGGGCAGCUGGGUUUCUCCAGCAUGGUCAUUCACGUGUUCCAGCUUUUUGGCCUUCCACAUCUCGAAAGCCAUCUCCUAAGGAAGAGGCACUUUUCUGUCCAGUGUUUGCUACCAGACUGAUCUUGGUGAGCAUCCCUAAAAGCUGUGGGUUGUGAGAGGCCAGGCCGACAAAGAAGUUUAAUAAGUAGAUUUCAGAACAUGUGUGUAAACUGCAGUGGGACACCAGCCCGGGACACACGUGCCAAAGACACUUCACAACCACAGAUGGAGCUUUCCGUGUCUUACAGAAGAGGCUGGGAAGCUAAACUGUAUAUCUUUAAAAUAGAAGGAGAUCUUCAGCUCAUGCCACCAAAGUGCAAAGCGUUGCAUUAUUUUAUUGUCUACUUCUCCUCCCACACUGCAUUUAUGGUAAGAUGUAUGUGUUGUUACUUCAACGCCAGUUUGAUAAAUGGGUGUCAUAGCUUUGACUAUUCAGUCAUGAUGGCUGUGUAACCUCCCGUAACUUAUUCUGUUGCCUACCACUUUUUUUUUUUCUUUCUUUUUUUUUUUUGUUCUGUAGAAGACAUUGUGAACUGUGAAAUCUGUGUACAAAAAUUGCUUUAUGCCCAAUUAUUAGGAAUGCACUAUAAAUUAAAAAUUUGAAACUCUGAAACCAGAACCUAUUGUGUUUCAUUCUGGUCCUCGUUUCUUUCCAUUUUCAAGAUACACCUGCAUGUUUCCAAGU
rnacentral:lncRNA from 1 species